rnacentral:rRNA from 1 species
GACGAACGCUGGCGGCGUGCUUAACACAUGCAAGUCGAACGGAAAGGCCCUGCUUUUGUGGGGUGCUCGAGUGGCGAACGGGUGAGUAACACGUGAGUAACCUGCCCUUGACUUUGGUAUUACUUCACGAAACUGGGGCUAAUACCGUAUAGGAGCUCCUGCUUCUUGGUGGGGUUUGGAAAGUUUCGGCGGUUGUGGAUGUACUCGCGGCUUAUCAGCUUGUUGGUGGGGUAGUGGCUUACCAAGGCUUCGACGGGUAGCCGGCCUGAGAGGGUGACCGGCCACAUUGGGACUGAGAUACGGCCCAGACUCGUACGGGAGGCAGCAGUGGGGAAUAUUGCAAAAUGGGGGGAAGCCUGAUGCAGCAACGCCGCGUGCGGGAUGACGGCCUUCGGGUUGUAAACCGCUUUCGCCUGUGACGAAGCGUGGGUGACGGUAAUGGGUAAAGAAGCACCGGCUAACUACGUG